rnacentral:rRNA from 1 species
GAUGAACGCUGGCGGCGUGCUUAACACAUGCAAGUCGAACGAUGAACCGGGUGCUUGCACUCGGGGAUUAGUGGCGAACGGGUGAGUAACACGUGAGCAACCUGCCCCUGACUCUGGGAUAAGCGCUGGAAACGGCGUCUAAUACUGGAUAUGUCCCGUCACCGCAUGGUGUGCGGGUGGAAAGAUUUUUCGGUUGGGGAUGGGCUCGCGGCCUAUCAGCUUGUUGGUGAGGUAAUGGCUCACCAAGGCGUCGACGGGUAGCCGGCCUGAGAGGGUGACCGGCCACACUGGGACUGAGACGCGGCCCAGACUCCUACGGGAGGCAGCAGUGGGGAAUAUUGCGCAAUGGGCGGAAGCCUGAUGCAGCAACGCCGCGUGAGGGAUGACGGCCUUCGGGUUGUAAACCUCUUUUAGCAGGGAAGAAGCGAGAGUGACGGUACCUGCAGAAAAAGCACCGGCUAACUACGUGCCAGCCGCCGCGGUAA